GGGCGAUUAGCGCAGUUGGGAGAGCACCUGCCUUACAAGCAGGGGGUCCCUGGUUCGAGCCCGGUAUCGCCCACCA
rnacentral:tRNA from 1 species